rnacentral:rRNA from 1 species
GAUGAACGCUGGCGGCGUGCCUAAUACAUGCAAGUCGAGCGAACAGACGAGGAGCUUGCUCCUUUGACGUUAGCGGCGGACGGGCGAGUAACACGUGGGUAACCUACUUAUAAGACUGGGAUAACUUCGGGAAACCGGAGCUAAUACCGGAUAAUAUUUCGAACCGCAUGGUUCGAUAGUGAAAGAUGGCUUUGCUAUCACUUAUAGAUGGACCUGCGCCGUAUUAGCUAGUUGGUAAGGUAACGGCUUACCAAGGCAACGAUACGUAGCCGACCUGAGAGGGUGAUCGGCCACACUGGAACUGAGACACGGUCCAGACUCCUACGGGAGGCAGCAGUAGGGAAUCUUCCGCAAUGGGCGAAAGCCUGACGGAGCAACGCCGCGUGAGUGAUGAAGGUCUUCGGAUCGUAAAACUCUGUUAUUAGGGAAGAACAAACGUGUAAGUAACUGUGCACGUCUUGACGGUACCUAAUCAGAAAGCCACGGCUAACUACGUG